ensembl:lncRNA
GUGCCGUUGGAGCCCCGCCCCUCCCCCGCUCGGGGGCCGCCAUUGGCUGUCGCCGAUUGGGGGCGGGGCCUGGACCCGGAAGUGCUGCGGGAGCGAAUCUUCAGAGGGGGCGUGGUCCCCGAGCUCCGGCCCCGGGCCUGGCCCUUCCUGCUGGGGCUGCGGAAUUUGGGGGACCCCGGGGGGACCCCCGAGAGCCCCGAGGGGACCCCGGACCCCGCCCGGGCCCGCAGGGACGAUUAUUUCCGGAUGAAGCUCCAGUGGCGCUCGCUGAGCCCGGGGCAGCUGCGGAGGAACAAAAUCCUCAGGGGGUACCUGGAACGGAUCGGUGAGACCCCAAAAAUCCCCAAAAAUCACCCCAAAAUAACCCCAAAAAUCACCCCAAAAAUCCCCCAAAAUCACCCCAAACUGAGCCCUCAGGGGGUACCUGGAACGGAUCGGUGAGACCCCAAAAACCCCCAAAAUCACCCCAAAAUCACCCCAAAAUCACCCCAAAAUCACCCCAAACUGAGCCCUCAGGGGGUACCUGGAACGGAUGGGUGAGACCUCAAAAAUUACCCAAAAUCACCCCAAAAUGGCCCAAAAAUUAACCCAAACUGUCCCAAAAAUCACCCCAAAAUGGCCCAAAAAUUACCCCUAAACUGCCCCAAAAAUGAGUCCAAAUCUUCCCAAAAAGUCCCAAAAUUUCCACAAACGUUCUCUAAUCACCCUAAAAGUCCCCAAAAUGUCCCCAAAAUGUCCCAAACAUCCCAAAAAUGUCCCCAAAAAAUCUCCAAAAUGUCCCAAAAAAUCCCAAAAUGUCCCAAAAUGUCUCAAAAUGUCCCCAAAAAAAUCUCCAAAAAAUCCCAAAAUAUCCCCAAAAAAUCCUAAAAUGUCCCCCAAAAAAAUCGCAAAUCUCCCCCAAAUCCUUCCCCAGAAAUCCCAAAAAGUCUCCAAAAAAUCCCAAAAAAUCCCAAAAUGUCCCAAAAAAAAUCCCAAAAAUCCCAAAUCUCCCCAAAAAAUCAAAAAAAAUCCCAAAUCUCCCCAAAAAGUCCCCAAAUGUCCCCCAAAAAAUCCCAAAUCUCCCCCAAAUCCUUCCCCAGAAAUCCCAAAAUGUUCCAAAAAAUCAAAAAAAUCCCAAAAUCUCCCAAAAAGUCCCAAAUAAAAUCCCAAAAAAAUCCCCAAAAAAAUCUCAAAAAAAUCCCAAAUCUCCCCCAAAUCCUUCCCCAGAAAUCCCAAAAUGUUCCAAAAAAUCCCAAAAAAAUCCCAAAAUCUCCCAAAAAGUCCCAAAUAAAAUCCAAAAAAAAUCCCCCAAAAAAUCUCCAAAAAAUCCCAAAACGUCCCAAAAUCUCCCCCAAAAUCUCCUCAAAAAGUCCCAAAUGUCCCCAAAAAUCCCAAAAUGUCCCCAAAAAAAUGUCCAAAAAAUCCCAAAAUAUUGCCAAAAAAAAAAUCUCAAAAAAUCCCAAAAUUACCAAAAAUAUCCAAAAAUGUCCCAAAAUGUCCCCAAAAAAAACCAAAAAUGUCCCCAAAAAAUCCCAAAAUGUCCCGAAAAAAUCUUCAAAAAUCCCCAAAAAUCCUUAAAAAAUCCCCAAAAACUCCCCAAAAAAACCCCAAAAAAUCUCCAAAAAAUCCCAAAAAAUCCCAAAAUGUCCCAAAAAAUCCCAAAUCUCCCCAAAAUGUCCCAAAAUGUCCCAAAUUUGCCCAAAUCUCCCAGAUCGGGACCUGGCCGGGGAUCCGUCGGCGCCGCGGCUGCGGGAACUGCUCCGGACAUUCUGCAUGUUCCACUUCGACCUCGGGUACGUGAGGGGGAUGAACGAGCUCCUGGCCCCUCUCGCCGCCGUCUGCGCCGACGAGGCCGAAGCGUUUUGGGCCUUUUGCGCCGUCAUGGAGAUGGUGGGUGA